AUUGAACGCUGGCGGCAUGCUUUACACAUGCCAGUCGAACGGCAGCACAGGGAGCUUGCUCCUGGGUGGCGAGUGGCGAACGGGUGAGUAAUGUAUCGGAACGUGCCUGGUAGUGGGGGAUAACUACUCGAAAGAGUGGCUAAUACCGCAUGAGAUCUUUGGAUGAAAGCGGGGGACCUUCGGGCCUCGUGCUACUGGAGCGGCCGAUAUCAGAUUAGGUUGUUGGUGGGGUAAAGGCCUACCAAGCCUGCGAUCUGUAGCUGGUCUGAGAGGACGACCAGCCACACUGGGACUGAGACACGGCCCAGACUCCUACGGGAGGCAGCAGUGGGGAAUUUUGGACAAUGGGCGCAAGCCUGAUCCAGCAAUGCCGCGUGCAGGACGAAGGCCUUCGGGUUGUAAACUGCUUUUGUACAGAACGAAAAGUCUCUGGCUAAUAUCUAGAGAUCAUGACGGAACUGUAAGAAUAAGCACCGGCUAACUACGU
rnacentral:rRNA from 1 species